AAAUUAUAAUGUAUGGAUAUCAUUUGGAAAGUGACAUGAAAUGUUGUUAAAAAGUGAUGCAUACAAGUGUUUCAGAAGUCUGUCUAGGAAUAGAACAACAACUGAAGCUGACCAGUUGAUGGAAGAUACUGCAGAGUUUGGCAGGGAAAUAACCCAAGACAGCAAAGCGGCUCUUUUGGCGCAUUUACCAAGAGGACUAACAUGGCCACAAAUUCAUGAGAUCAUGCAGGAGCCGUACAGUAUAACAGCAGUCCAAGUUCUAUAAAAGAUCCACGACCUACUAAAGCCUAGCUAAUUAACAAAAAAGUUUUUAAAAACUGUAAUUUUAUCCCACCUGGGUACUUAUAAUUUACUAAGCUGCCUUCACAAGUUUUAGACUUGCAAUUAUAUUUUAAACUGUCACUUGGAGAGUAA